AACGAACGCUGGCGGCAGGCUUCAUACAUGCAAGUCGAACGAUUAAGGCCCUUUCGGGGGCGUAUACAGUGGCGAACGGGUGAGUAACAGGUGGAUAACCUGCCCUGAAGUGGGGGACAACAGCUGGAAACGGCUGCUAAUACCGCAUGUGGUUGUUUCUCUUCGGAGGAGCAAAAGAAAGGCGCGUUUGCGCCGCUUCAGGAUGGAUCCGCCUCCCAUUAGCUAGUUGGUGAGAUAACAGCCCACCAAGGCAACGAUGGGUAGCCGGACUGAGAGGUUGACCGGCCACACUGGGACUGAGACACGGCCCAGACACCUACGGGUGCAGCAGUAGGGAAUAUUGGACAAUGGGCGCAAGCCUGAUCCAGCCAUGCCGCGUGAACGACGAAGGCC
rnacentral:rRNA from 1 species